CUUUAGGUGUAGUAUAACGUUAGCUAGAUAAGUGAGCGUUCAUAAAAGAUUUCAGAGAACUCUUGUCUGAGUGUGCCAGAGCGAAGAAUAAGUGAUGAAUUUACAAACCGCAACAUCCGUUGACUAUGACCGGUGUGUGCUGGAGCCAGAGCGGAUCCUCACCAGCUGCAAUUCGUUCCAUUAUCAUGACCUCUACAAGUACUCAGUCCUGCCACUUCCACUCUGCCAGAUCGUGUUCUCCGUUCAUUUUGCUGCUCUGACUCUGGUUCCUGUCUCCUGUUCCACAUCUCACAACCCGGCUACCCUGUUCUGGAUUCAACUCAUCAUCACUCCCUUGGAUUCCCCUCCGGACCUAUUCACCCUGUCCCAACCCAGCUCACUCCAACCUCAGCCUCCACAUCUGGUUUCCUACAACUCAUCCAAGCUUCCCUGGAUCUGCACUUCAUCUCUCCCUGUGUUACAAUAAUUCAUCCCUGUUUCCUGAUCUGAGUCUGCUCUUGGGUUCCCCUGUGCUGCUCCGCUUAACAAGUUAUAACUGCAUGUUCCACCGACAGCCUCUGUUUUUAGAAAACAGCUGCAUGAUCAGGGCCUGAGUUUCCAAUCGCGAUGGAACUUAGGCUUACAGCCAAAGAUGUAACUUGCGUUUUCUAAAACACCACGCAGAGAGAGCAUUCGCUAAGUGAUUCAUUGGAACAUGUGUCGAUACUGAUAGGAUGUAAAGCAAAGCAGUGUCACUUUCUCCAUUCAAAUCUUACCUUGGCAUUAGAAUAACUGCACAAUAUUGAUGAGUGUUCAGCUCCUUGGAGAGAUAUACUGAACAAACAUAUAAACACAAC
ensembl:lncRNA